CCUGUGGAGCGUCAUAGCAAACGUUAGUAAUUUGUCAGUAAUAACGAUGAAAGCGGACGCAAUGAAGCAGGAA
rnacentral:sRNA from 1 species